rnacentral:rRNA from 2 species
GGCGGGGUGCUAUACAUGCAAGUCGAACGAACUCUGGUAUUGAUUGGUGCUUGCAUCAUGAUUUACAUUUGAGUGAGUGGCGAACUGGUGAGUAACACGUGGGAAACCUGCCCAGAAGCGGGGGAUAACACCUGGAAACAGAUGCUAAUACCGCAUAACAACUUGGACCGCAUGGUCCGAGUUUGAAAGAUGGCUUCGGCUAUCACUUUUGGAUGGUCCCGCGGCGUAUUAGCUAGAUGGUGGGGUAACGGCUCACCAUGGCAAUGAUACGUAGCCGACCUGAGAGGGUAAUCGGCCACAUUGGGACUGAGACACGGCCCAAACUCCUACGGGAGGCAGCAGUAGGGAAUCUUCCACAAUGGACGAAAGUCUGAUGGAGCAACGCCGCGUGAGUGAAGAAGGGUUUCGGCUCGUAAAACUCUGUUGUUAAAGAAGAACAUAUCUGAGAGUAACUGUUCAGGUAUUGACGGUAUUUAACCAGAAAGCCACGGCUAACUACGUGCCAGCAGCCGCGGUAAUACGUAGGUGGCAAGCGUUGUCCGGAUUUAUUGGGCGUAAAGCGAGCGCAGGCGGUUUUUUAAGUCUGAUGUGAAAGCCUUCGGCUCAACCGAAGAAGUGCAUCGGAAACUGGGAAACUUGAGUGCAGAAGAGGACAGUGGAACUCCAUGU